GUCCUAGGCAACGACUGUCAGGAAGUUCCCAAAAUAAGUCACUCACAACCUCAUCGUCCUGGUUUGGACCUUUUGUCAAUAAAGCCACUAUGAGGAUCUGUGUGCCAAUCUUCUUGUGGAGAACUUUUUAUUGAGGAGUGGAACUGCCAGUUCCCAUGCUGGCAAGGCGAACCCAUGGGGCGGUUACAGUGUCUGCAACGCAGACACAAGCGACAGAGACUUGAUCAGAAUAUACAAGGAACUCUGCAAGUCAGCGAUGGUAAGAAGCAGGGCAGCUGGGCCUCCUACGCCUGCCUCGCCGUUCGGUCCCCCGGACACCUCUGGGCUUAGGACUCAGGGGAACAGAUUCCCAGAAGCAGGUUCCCCGCCGCGUCCGGCGCCCGGGCUCUG
rnacentral:lncRNA from 1 species